ACAAAAAGUUGUAAAGGACCGAAUGGAAGCAUAUGAGAAAGAAAAAAAGAAAGUGUGAGAGUGCACAUGAAAAAGAAAAGGUGCACAAGCAAAAGGGGAGUUGUAUGGAAAAUAAUGAGGGGCGAGGGCAAAAAGUGGUAAAAGGAGAUUUUAGUGAGGGUUUGCACAAGAAUAAGAGCAAAAGAACGAGUAAGGCGUAAGAAAAAGGGGAGGCGAGUGAGAGAAAAGUGAGUUUUCUAGUUAGUGAGCGAGACAUGAGAAUGGCUUUGAGUGAAAAUAGGCAAGUACUUGUACUUAUGUACAAGAAAACUUUAUUUAACACUAAUAAUCUUAACUCUUCUCUUCCUAGUGUGUUUAUAAGUGUUUUGCAGGAGUAUGACGAUGUGUUUCCCGAGGAGUUACCUAGUAGGUUGCCACCACUAAGGGGGAUAGAGCACCAAAUUGACUUUGUGCCGGGGUCAUCCAUUCCAAAUAGACCAGCCUAUAGAGUCAAUCUCGAGGGGACCAAAGAGCUGCAACGCCAAGUUGAGGAACUACUAAAUAAAGGUUGAUGAAGACAAGGUGAAAACAAUUAAGGAGUGGCCAACACCAAAGAAUGUUAGUGACGUGAGGAGCUUUCAUGGACUUGCAAGCUUCUAUAGGAGGUUUGUCAAGGACUUCAGUACCCUUGUCGUACCACUCAAUGAGCUUGUAAAGAAGAACGUGAAGUUUUAUUGGGGAGAACAACAAGAAAAAGCAUUUAAUAUGCUAAAGGAUAAAGUAUUGGAGCUGUUUUAAUGCACGAUGGGCAGCCAAUAGCCUAUUUUAGUGAAAAAUUGAAUGGAGCUAGCUUGAAGUAUCUAACUUAUGACAAGGAAUUGUAUGCUCUUGUGCGUGCACUCAAUAUUUGGCAGCAUUAUUUGCUACCUAAGGAGUUUGUGAUUCACAUGGAUCAUGAAGCAUUGAAGCACUUAAAGGGACAGAACAAGUUAAAUAAACGCCAUACUAAAUGGAGUGAAUUCAUUGAAGCGUUUCCCUAUGUUAUUAAGUAUAAGCAAGGUAAAGAAAAUGUAGUUGCCAAUGCACUAUCUAGAAGGUAUGCUUUACUUGCUUCUUUAGAAACAAAAUUGCUUCUUUGGUUCUAUUUUUCAUGCUUGUGAA